CCAACACAUAACAAAAGGGGAAAAAGGUCACCUCCAUGCAGGACACCCUCCACCAAUGGUGACUAUGGACCCUGGGGGACUCCCACCACUGAAGAUGACGACUACAGACCCUCGGCACACCGCUGGAUCCUCGAUGAUCUCACAAUGAAGAGAAGCAUCUAGGUGGUGUAAAAUAUCAGCUCUCAUCUCUGAAGCACCGACUUACUCUGCACCACCUCCAGAACCACCUGCUCUUUCAAAAGAAAAUAGCACUACACAAUGUAGACAAUUAGAAAAAACAUACAAAAAUAAUGAGUGAAUCUGUAAACAAACAACUUCAUUCUGUCGUAAGAAUGCAUUUAACUCAGUUACUUAAUUGGCCAAAACUAUCUGAUACCCCACGUUUUCUUUAUUAUUGUCUUACACACUAAGGUUGUGGUGUCUAACAAGUUAAAUAUGCUCAUGACUAAUAUAAAACUGAAAAAUAUCCUUCAAGGCCAAACGGCAUCUCAGACUGAUCUAAUAGAGAUUAACAAAUUCCUGAAGAUCCUUGUGCAGAUUUACCACCAGCACAGUAAACAUCCUGCCAACAGUCUGCCAUGCAACAGGAAAAUGAGGUACUGCUGGGGGCAAAAUAGCUGCAGAGGGAAGAUGAAGGCUGCAGUGCUGUUUCAGACAGCAUGCCCCUGUAGCCCUGCUCUGUGCUGAUCCCCAACUUGGAGGGCAUGUUGGCCACAUCCUGCCCAGUGCUAAGAUGACAGGACAGUCUGGUUUGGAAACCACGUAUCAGCAUCAGCGAGGCAGGUGCCUGAGCUCGGUGCUCUCAGAGGCAAGGCGUAUCUUUUCAGAUACGGUAUUUUACCAGUGAUAAUAAUGAGCCAGUUGGGAAAACUUAACUGGGGAAGUGGUAGAUUCUCUAUCACAUGAAGUUAUUAAAUCAAGACUGUGGAUUUCUGAAGUAUGCCUUUCUAGCACAAACAGAACAUUAGCUUCCUGGUAAAGAAUUUAUGUUCAGAACACUGUAGGUCUGAACACAGAGGUUACAGUAGCUGGCUUUAUUGAUGUCUUCUGACUCGAAAAUCUAGGAAUCUAGCAUCAUCUGUUAUCACUUCCUUUACACCAAAGAUCUCCUUGACUCUUCUGGGAAUCCAUUAAAGCUGAAAAGCCUGCCAAGCUGAGAAAAUUACCAUAGUAUUUCCAGCUGCUUUCCCCAGAAUUUUACAGUAAUCCUUCCCCUGGCUCCAAGCAAGACUUGCCACUUUUCUUACGAGUAGCUUGAGCAAGUAGCAUUGUUAGGUUGUUCCUCUACUGCUCCUUAUGGGCAAUCCCCUCUCAGGUAUUGCCAAGCCACUGAAGGAAUUCAGAAGUUCCCCUUGCCUUCCCCGACACGGGUGUAAGAAUUUCUUUGCAAGUCUGGAAGCUGGCACCACAAUUCAUACUGAAGAAGCAGCUGACACGACCAAGCAGAGCCUACCAGGCCUGCAAACAGCUUGCAGAUUUAAGUGGUAGCCUAAAUAAGAACCACUCUUGAAUGUCAUUCAUAACAAAGUGGAAAAACUAGCAACAUCCCGCACGUUUCUCACAUGCAGAAGUGCCAAACAGGAGGCAGCUCUUGUUAUCUGGUUGCCAAGGACAGGACCUGGUUGAAUACUCCCUCCCCACCCCCAGCACAGACCCAUCUGAACAACUGAGAAACAUGAGCAAUUCUGCACCAUGCUGAUGAAGUUUUUAAUCUACAUGUCACCCAAGCUGAACUGCAAAACACGGCUGCCUGCCCUAGUUAUCAAAUGACCUGAAAUUCAGCAUGAUCAUCUGCCGUAACAGCUGGUUCAUUGACAAUGAGAGAAACUCCUGCCUGGCUGCUGAACCAGAGGCAGGGCCAGGAUCCCUGGGACCUGGAAUGCACACCCUCCAACACUGAGAUGCUUCUCCCAUCCCCCUGCAUGGCACAGCCUCAAAAUGUCUUGUGUUCUUCAAAUUCUGCAUGCUGACUUCUUCCUCUACAUAUUUAUUUCUCAUCUGUAUCAUUAAAAAGAGAUUUCAGAGACCUGCCACUUCAAAGUGGGGGAAAAUAAUGAAACAUCUUUCCCUAGGAAUUAAAGCAGAGGUGAGGUUGGAUCUUGUCAGUUUAUUUCUUUCUGUCUAGGGUGCUACAUAAAAAAUACACAGCACUAGCAAUUUUACUUCUUCUAAGUAGCAAGUUAUAGAGGAACACAGUACAAAAUAUUAAAAUGAUUGUCAAGAGAUAAGUAUCCAAAACAGCCAAAGUUAUGGAGCUAAAUAACUCUGACAGAUGGUAUGAAUACUUUUUUAAGAAUGACUCACAUUCAAACACAGUGAUACUUCCUGAAGUUGCUUUGAUGCACACACCAAGUUACAUUUUUCUAUUCAAUUGAAAAAAAAAAUCUAAUCACUUAUUAGUACAUUUUUACAGUUUUAUUACUGUGAAAGGUAUUAUUAGUGAAAUUUAAUACUGCUUAACAGUAUAAUGAACAGAAUUAGAUGUCUGGACUAUGUCUUAGUGCUUUUGCACUUCUUCCCCAAAUGGAACAAAGAGUGAAAGCUGAACAUAAUAGCAGCCUUCUGGUAUCUGUAUAGGGCCUACGAGGGUGCCAGAGAGGGACUCUUCAUCAGGGACUGUAGUGAUAAGACAAGGUG